rnacentral:rRNA from 1 species
UAAAUCACAAUGCGGGACUGUUAGUCUUGCAAUUGGAUUGAGAACAACGUACAACUCUUAUCGAUAAGCCAUUGGAGGGCAAGUCUGGUGCCAGCAGCCGCGGUAAUUCCAGCUCCAAUAGCGUAUAUUAACGUUGUUGCAGUUAAAAAGCUCGUAGUUGAAGUGAGGGAGUGUGUGGGUAUGAGAGCUAGUCUCAAGUACUUACAACCUCCCCCCUCCAAUCGGUGUAGUGGGGUAUUCAGUUAUUCUACUACUCCUUUGGUCGUUUACUGUGAGAAAAUUAGAGUGUUCAAAGCGGGCGUUUGUUUGAAUAGAUUAGCAUGGAAUAAUGAUUGAAGGCUUUCGUGUUCGAUUUGAUUGGUUUGUUCAUGGAAGCAAGGUUAAAAGGAACAGUUGGGGGUAUUCAUAUUCACUAGUUAGAGGUGAAAUUCUCG